AUGAACGCUAGCGACAGGCUUAACACAUGCAAGUCGAGGGGCAGCACAGGUAGCAAUACCGGGUGGCGACCGGCGCACGGGUGAGUAACGCGUAUGCAACUUGCCUAUCAGAGGGGGAUAACCCGGCGAAAGUCGGACUAAUACCGCAUGAAGCAGGGAUCCCGCAUGGGAAUAUUUGCUAAAGAUUCAUCGCUGAUAGAUAGGCAUGCGUUCCAUUAGGCAGUUGGCGGGGUAACGGCCCACCAAACCGACGAUGGAUAGGGGUUCUGAGAGGAAGGUCCCCCACAUUGGUACUGAGACACGGACCAAACUCCUACGGGAGGCAGCAGUGAGGAAUAUUGGUCAAUGGCCGAGAGGCUGAACCAGCCAAGUCGCGUGAGGGAUGAAGGUUCUAUGGAUCGUAAACCUCUUUUAUAAGGGAAUAAAGUGCGGGACGUGUCCCGUUUUGUAUGUACCUUAUGAAUAAGGAUCGGCUAACUCCGUGCCAGCAGCCGCGGUAAUACGGAGGAUCCGAGCGUUAUCCGGAUUUAUUGGGUUUAAAGGGUGCGUAGGCGGCCUUUUAAGUCAGCGGUGAAAGUCUGUGGCUCAACCAUAGAAUUGCCGUUGAAACUGGGGGGCUUGAGUAUGUUUGAGGCAGGCGGAAUGCGUGGUGUAGCGGUGAAAUGCAUAGAUAUCACGCAGAACCCCGAUUGCGAAGGCAGCCUGCCAAGCCAUUACUGACGCUGAUGCACGAAAGCGUGGGGAUCAAACAGGAUUAGAUACCCUGGUAGUCCACGCAGUAAACGAUGAUCACUAGCUGUUUGCGAUACACUGUAAGCGGCACAGCGAAAGCGUUAAGUGAUCCACCUGGGGAGUACGCCGGCAACGGUGAAACUCAAAGGAAUUGACGGGGGCCCGCACAAGCGGAGGAACAUGUGGUUUAAUUCGAUGAUACGCGAGGAACCUUACCCGGGUUUGAACGCAUUCGGACCGAGGUGGAAACACCUUUUCUAGCAAUAGCCGUUUGCGAGGUGCUGCAUGGUUGUCGUCAGCUCGUGCCGUGAGGUGUCGGCUUAAGUGCCAUAACGAGCGCAACCCUUGCCACUAGUUACUAACAGGUUAGGCUGAGGACUCUGGUGGGACUGCCAGCGUAAGCUGCGAGGAAGGCGGGGAUGACGUCAAAUCAGCACGGCCCUUACAUCCGGGGCGACACACGUGUUACAAUGGCGUGGACAAAGGGAGGCCACCUGGCGACAGGGAGCGAAUCCCCAAACCACGUCUCAGUUCGGAUCGGAGUCUGCAACCCGACUCCGUGAAGCUGGAUUCGCUAGUAAUCGCGCAUCAGCCAUGGCGCGGUGAAUACGUUCCCGGGCCUUGUACACACCGCCCGUCAAGCCAUGGGAGCCGGGGGUACCUGAAGUCCGUAACCGAAAGGAUCGGCCUAGGGUAAAACUGGUGACUGGGGCU
rnacentral:rRNA from 1 species